GAAUUUUGGACAAUGGGGGCAACCCUGAUCCAGCCAUCCCGCGUGUGCGAUGAAGGCCUUCGGGUUGUAAAGCACUUUUGGCAGGGAAGAAACGGCUCUGCCUAAUACCUGGAGCUGCUGACGGUACCUGCAGAAUAAGCACCGGCUAACUACGUGCCCGCAGCCGCGGUAAUACGUAGGGUGCAAGCGUUAAUCGGAAUUACUGGGCGUAAAGCAUUCACAAGCGGUUCGGCAAGAAGGAUAUGAAAUCCCAGGGCUUAACCUUGAAACUGCAUUCUUAACUGCCGGGCUAGAGUAUGUCAGAGGGUAGUAGAAUUCCUCUUGUCACAGUCAACUGCUUACCGAUACGGCCCACUACCUAUGGCGACGGCAUCCCCCUGGGAUAAUACUGACGCUCAUGCACGAAAGCGUGGGGAGCAAA
rnacentral:rRNA from 1 species